CAGAGCCUCCGCUCAGGUGCACACAUAGAGGCAGGAGAGUGGUGGGCAUCAUGACGGCUCCAUCCCUUUUCCUCGUACCCUGCCCUACACACCUCUUCAAUCUGGCUGUUCCUGAGUUAUAAUAAACUGGAGAUCUAAAGGAAGACAAUAUGAAGACGUUGGAUAAAGAUGGCCAUCUAUGAGCCAAGGAGGAAGGCUUUAGAAGCUCUGCCAACACCAUGAUCUUGGACUUCUAGAAUUGUACAAUUUGACUACCCUGAGUCACAAGCUAAGAAGACUGUGCAGUUCAGUGAGAAAAGGUCACAGGCCUCAAGGUCUUGGAGCUGAUCUCUCUAAUAUGAUGCAGAACAGAGGCCUCCUUUUCACGUUGCCGGCUCUCCUCGCACGGCUGGCUCUGUGAUGCAAUGUCCAUCUUCCUACUCUCCUCAUAACUUGGUGAUAUCAACAGCAGAAACGUGGAACAUCUGUCCCUUGAAGACCACAAGGGAAACUGCUGUCUUCUCUACGACAAUAAAAGAGGAAAUGUAAUUGGACAUGAAGCUUAUUGGAAGAAGGCUUAGAAAUGGAGUGGCUGUAGAAAGGAGGACCAACCAAAACAUUUGGUAAAUUUCUGCCUGAGUCUGUUUGGAGUCUUUUUAUGGAUGAAAGAUGCAUGCUUCACAACCUCAUCACUGCUGGACCUGGGUGCAGGCAUGUCUUGAAACAUCCUGAUUGUCACCUCACUAUGGCGUUGACCUGUCAUGGAACCUCUUUGGAUGGCCAGGUCUAAAUGACAGAAGCAGCAUUCGUACUCAUUCAUUCUCCUCGAUGGGGACUCCAUGCAAUAAAUGCAUUGCCAACUUCAAGAACUCAAGGUCAUUACCUGCCCAUUCAAAUAUACAACAUUUGAAAAUCGUCAGUUGAGUUUUUCAGAAGUAGUUUCUGCACCUGGUUUUGGGAUCGGCAUCAGUCCACAGGUUGGUGAAAUGGGAAGAGCAUUGGACUUCAAGCCAAAGGAUCUACUAAAAGCAGCUGGUGUGUCUCUCCAUGGAGAAUCUUGAGGGGUCAGCGAGGACAGCCAACUCUUCUACCUUGCACCUGAGCCGAUUUUGAUCCAUUGCUGGUUCAGAAGCUUGAGGAGCUUGACUUUAGCCUCUGGAAACCUGCCUGUGCUGGGCAUCCCUUCUGAGCCCUGGACCCCUCACAUGUUAAGAUGCCAGAAAGAUGAGGAAGAAGCAGCAAAGAGGACUGAGGAGAAUCAACCAGUUGAAGUAAAACAAUAAUAACCCAGGAGACUAUGGUUUCCAGGAGGUCAAGUAAAGAAAGUAUUUCAAGAUUGAAGAGGGGGCCAAUGAUAUCAAAUGCUUUUAGUAGAUGAAGCAGAUGAAGACUAAAAAUUGAUUAUUGAAUUUGGCAACAUUGAUUAGGUUAGUUUAGUGCAUGAAUUUCAUCCUCUCUUUAAUUCUGGUAAAGUCUCUGAGAAGGUAACUCUUUUGUAUUUUUUGCAAACAACCUAAGAUACAGGAUACAUAAUAACCUGUUUAGAUUCACACACUUGGAAAGUGGUAGAGUUGAGGCUUGAACUCAGAUUUUCUGACCCCAAUUUCCAUUAUCUCUGAUAUUAGCUAUUUACAUUUUUUAAAUUGUUUUACAUUUAUUUUUUAUUUUUGAGAGAGACACAGCACAAGUUGGGGAGGU